AUGCUCGUCUCAACAGCACAUACACUAAAAAAUUUGAACCGUAUGGAGAAGACUAGCAUGGCCCCUAUGCAAAGAUAGUAUGCAAAUUCGUGUAACACUCCCUAUUUUU
rnacentral:snRNA from 1 species